GCUAGUUUACUGAAAGAGAAAGCGUUAUACCUGCUUGCAGUGUUAGCACAGAUUUUGAAAUAUUACAGCUAAACCAGGUUAGUAAUGGAUCAUUUAUUAGGCAACAGUCCUGUUUAGAAGUAAGGUCUUACCGCUUACUUAACUCUAAAAAUAAAUAAAUAAAAAUAAACCAACAACAACAUCAGCAAGGGAGUUUGUAUUCUCUCAUAACAAAAUAGGGAGGGACAACUUGCUGCGUGAAGGCUGUGCUUGCUGGAUAUGUGCUAUAUUUCAGUGUUAUAAACUCUGCAAAAUAAACAUAACAAACUAGAACGCUGUCUGUUUAAGUAUGUGAGUGUGUGUGAAUGAGGGCAAUGCGGACUUUUAAAUAAUAACAUGCAGCUUCUCAUAACUGUCACGCCAUGACAGCGCAGGAAGCUCUCAGGACUGUUCAGCCAACAGCAGUAGUCACGCCUUUCGAUCAACUCUCUCCAUUUAAAAACGACAUUCAAGCAAACAGGCUGACAUAUACCGGACAACCUGAGAAAUGCAGACCCUCUUCCUGGGAAUGGAAUACCUCAUUGUCCUGUCUGUUCUGUACGUCUGUCCCCUACAUGCAGCCAUUGGCAGCACCCCUGUGAUCUCUCUGGAUGAAGACACCCGUUAUGGUUUCAAAGUGUCCUGUGUCUCGGUAGGCUGGUACCCCAAACCUGAUCUGCAGUGGACAGACGGGAGAGGUGCAAUUUUAACAGCUGAGUCUGAAACCAGCGAGGAGCAGGAAGGGGAGGGGCUGUACACCGUCAGGAGUUAUCUGAGGACACCCGAGCUGGAGGGGAGCCAGGUUUCCUGCGUCAUUAAAUACGGAAAGGACCAGAGAGAGCUGCGAUCGAGCGCUAAAAUCAUUGCAGGAUACAGUAUUCCAUCUCUUCCUGGCUGGUGUGUGUCGAAUAUACUUAUUUCAGCUGCUUUUAUUUCUGUGCUGUUGUUAAUUGGGAUCAGCCUGGGAAUCACCAGACAUUGCUGCUGGCGACGUUACAAAAUUAGACCUGUGCGUCUGGUUUGAGCGGAAUUAAAGCCUGGUGCGGUCGAUCUCCAAGUGUACAUGCAAUCACACGAUCUGGGGCAGUUGAACAACAUUGGGAGAGAACUGAAGCAGCAACUGAAACUUCUGGGUCAAUCUGAGGUCAUAUUCUUUGGAAAGACAUUUUGGUGUCAAAAAGGUUAUUUAUUUAAGUAUUUCUGUACCGAUUCUGUACCUUGAGUCUGUACCCUGAGUCUCAGCAUGGUUUGAAAGCAGUGUGAGAUGUACACCUGCUGGCUUAAAAAUGAAAGCAACCUACUACUAAAUCCACACUGUGUGUCUCCUGACAUACUGUAUGAGUAGAAACAGGUGUGCUUGUGCAGUGCUGAAGGUUUCUGUGAUGUGGGAUACUGUCGCCUGUCUGCUGCCCAUCACAGUACGUUGCAGACAUCUGUGUGCUCAAUCUGUUACGUCCCACAUGAGACCGCUUGUGCUUUCUGCUGCUGGUGUUCUGCUUAUAUACCAUUUUUAAUUGACACUUUGGUCACGGUCUGUUAAGUGAUGAGCCAGUUGCAUGGGAACUCACUAUCAUGUCUCCUGUGAAGUCACAGAGAUCCUUCUAAUUUCGCCAUGGUUGUUGCUGAAUAGUUGCACACAAUUCUCAUAUCAGGCAGGCACAAACACAUUCAUUAUAUUUCAAUUGCAGGGCGUGUACUUUUUUUUUGAAGAUCAAUAAAAUAAAAGAUGUUCAAUAAAAAUACAAAAUAAAUGUCCCUUAACAGCAGGUUCUAAUGACCCACAUUUCACAGUCUUGCAAACACACUAGCUUCUGUGCCCUCUCCUCAGUUCCUCCUGAACUGGAGUGCUAAGCUGGCUUCUUUUACGAUCUUUUCUUCUUUUACAAUCACCUGGCUUUUGUCGGUGAAUUGAUUAACCCAUUCUCACAUGGAAAUUAACAUGCUCUUUUAUACUGAGUGGAAGUGAAUGAAAACAAGCUGUUUAUAUCAAAUAAAUCACCCAAAUAAACAAAUAUUUACAUGUGAGGGGUUGUCACCUGUCACAAGCUUAUAUAGUUCUAGUCCAUCACAUGACAUGACCUUGCACACACUGGAGACUGGUGGGUUUUCUAGUUUUACAGACAUCCCAGUAUUUUAAUAAACAUUUGUAAAAUGAAGACUAUUAUACAGUAAUAAAGGCUGAUGUUUUGUAUUUUAGUGACACCACUUGAUAUGAACAUCCAAUAGGAAACGUUUUUUAAACUAGAAUUUGUUUAGCUGAGCACCUUGACUAUGAUGUGGAAAUGAACUGUCAAGAAGUCUAUACCCAUCCAUGUGAGGAUGCAGUUGCGUUCAGCUGUGUAAGGGAGUAUGACUUUAACAUUAAAUUAAAAAAAAAAAAAAGAAUAAAAUGCUGGCAUUUUUAAUAUGUUAUGGGUGGGUCUGUCUGUGUAACAAAAAAGGGGUUUUGGAAUAUUUCCUUUGAAGUCAUUUUUUUCUAUGUUAAGUCAUAUAAUGUCACCACACCAUGAUAUGACAUCACCACACCGUAUACGUGAGAGAAUAAGAAAAUUUAAAAGACACCCUGCAAAAUCCAGGAUCUUUAUACACUCCGCUCUGUGUGAGAAUAACAUAACACGUUUGUCUUAUAAAUAUCAAUAUUUAUUCAAAUUAUUUACAGUGACCUGCAUUCAUCGAAUGAUUACAUUGAGCUUGACAGUGACACACACAAAUCAGAACUGCAGAAGGGCUGGUAUGCACAAGCCCUCACCCCUGUGGAGCACACUGCAGUGAGUCUAUGGGAGGGCUGGUCGAGCCCUCACCCUGUGGAGCACACUGCAGUGAGUCUAUGGGAGGGCUGGUCGAGCCCUCACCCUGUGGAGCACACUGCAGUGAGUCUAUGGGAGGGCUGGUCGAGCCCUCACCCUGUGGAGCACACUGCAGUGAGUCUAUGGGAGGGCUGGUCGAGCCCUCACCCUGUGGAGCACA